rnacentral:tRNA from 1 species
GAUACUCUGGCUCAGUUGGUAGAGCAUGGUGUUUGCAACGCCAGGGUUGUGGGUUUGAUUCCCACGGGGGACCA